ensembl:lncRNA
GGAGCCAAAGUUAUCCCAGACGCUGAUCUUGACUCUCUCUUGUCCUCACAGGGCAACACCAGCACCAUAAUUGUGUGGUUGUGGCUGAAUAAGCUGGUCCUCCUGCAGGACAGGACAGCAGGCACAUGAGGCUUUGGGGGCCUGCGUCAACAAUAUAUGGAGCCAGCAGACAUCAGUCCGUUGAGGUGUCCCUCUCCAGCGCCACUGGAUGGUGUCGGUCAUCCUGAGGUGGAAUCCAAGGAGGAGGAGCUGAGGGGUUUUGUGCAGCUCUCAGUCGGGGUGUCUUGCAGGCCCCCGGGCUCGGCUGACUCCCCCGAAUCAACAACUUGCCUCAGACAACCUCUCCCCAUAAAGCCAGCCACUCAUCAAUCUGGCUGUGGCCUUAAUCUCCCAGUGAAGAAAUCCCAACCCACAUUCUCCAUGAACUUGGCUUCAGGAUGGAAUGAGACGGACAUGGAGCAUCGGGCUCUUAAAGCUGAAUCGGCUGUGCGCCUCAUAGAUGACUACCGCAGUGCUGAUACCUGCGUAGCCUCUGCAGCUAACGCGCGUCUUCAGAGGGAAGAGAUGGGCUUUGCUGACUUCACUGUGUUUACAGAGCAGACGGUGCAUCACUGGUGCUGUGGUUUCACACCUUCAGGGAAUCCAGAGACGUCUAACAGCAGACUUGGGCAGAGGAACCCUUCAAACAGCCCAUUAGAACGCCCCCGUAGUCCCGGGCAGGUGGCUUUAGGGGACUCUGACCCUCAUUGUUCAUCUAAAGCAAAAGAUUGCACCAUGAUCGGACACUGGCAGGAAGGAGACGCUGCAGUUGCGCAACCCCACCAGGACCAGCAACAGCCUCAGGAAACUGCAGCAACUUUGGUUUUUCCUCCUGCGAAGGUUUACGCCGAGAAAGGAGCGUCGGAGGAGAGCGAUCCGACCCCAGAGGUUCGAGAAGAGGGAGGCGAGGAGAGCGACGAACAAGACGAGCCAGGACGCCGCCGCUCCGACUCAUCCGCAACUCAGGAAAACUCUGCUACCUCCGGUCCGCUGCGGUCAGGAGCGCGCCACGAUAUCUCGGACCCGGUGCACGCCCAACGAGCCGACGCUGCCGUGCUGAUUCUGGGAACGCUCCCACCGAGCGACAGCUUCGCCGACUUCUGCGCAGCGCCCGCGCAGGACGACGGAGAGGAUUUAUGGGCGGAGUUCACGGACAGGAAGGAAGAGGAAGGCGAGCCGGCUUGGACCAGAGAGCGAGCCGGCUCCGUCCCCACUGAAGACGAGGACGAGGCUCCCGGCUGUAAGGCGUCACUUUCCGGCCGUGUGCACCAGCUUUUCCUGGCUAAUUUCCUGGAGGCAGGGGGCCCGUGUGCUGCCCCAGAGCUGGAGGUGCUCAGCCUCGCCGCUCUGCUUGAUGUCCAACAGCCCCCUCAGCGUGAGGACGGCGAGGAGCAACAGGGCCAGGGGAUCCAGAAGGGGCUGCGGUGGCUGCGCGCGGACCUUCACAGUGCAGUCGGCCUCCGGUUCCAGUGGAGAGGCUCCCACUCCAGCAGGACUCUGCUCAGGUGCCUCGGCGUGGACGCAGAGAACGUCGGCGAGAAGGAAAUUCUAAAACGAACCCGGGACUCGCGAGCGUUCGCUAGAGACCACCAAAGACUCCGAGUCAGCCGCCCGUUCUCCGAGACACACGGCGGCACCGGCACCUCCGACCCCCCAGGACGCACCAGCACCUUCCACCGCUCCAGUACAGGGUACGAUUCCCUCCAGCCAGACGGACUGGAACAACCGCGGCCUUAG